AGGCAAAAGCUUGGCAUAUGCCUGAUAUGUUGUGGAUGAUGACUGACUGCCUCACAUAAAUCUUCUAAGUAGUUCUGCUGUGUGUGUGGAAAGCAUCGGAAUGCCCAUAUGCGAACCUUACAGAACUCCCACAUGGACAGAGAAGUACAUUAUAGGAGAACUUCUGCUCAAAUUCGGUGACGUCUUUCAGUUGAUUUUUGACAUUCGGGCAGUGAUGAAGAUACUAUUCUAACAAGUCACUUAAGGAAAAGUAGAAAUAAACAGUCAAAAAGUACUGUAGUAAAGGUUCAA